CCAAAAAUUAAGUCGUUAGCUUCUCAACUUCAACUGCAUCAGGAUACUGUAAAUAGGCAGGAAGCCUUGUCCACAAGUAAAAGAAUAAUAUGUUAACACACAUGUUACUUUAUCUUUCUUUCUUAUGUAGUACAGAUAAUGGCAUGAGGGCCCCAGAUUACGAUAGUAUUAACUUUCCGGUUGACAUAAAAUUGGAAAAUGUGUUUACAUUCAUGUUGGAAAAUGUGUUUACAUUCAUGUUGGAAAAUGUGUUUCCAACAUGCUUAAUGUUUUUCACAGGAAUUGUUUACAUUCAUGAAAUCUUCCAUGUAACCAAGGGAUGAUUUCUAACAUAGUAACAUGUGUGGUGUGAUUAAGAAGCUUAC
rnacentral:lncRNA from 1 species